AUUGAACGCUGGCGGCAGGCCUAACACAUGCAAGUCGAGCGGUAGAGAGAAGCUUGCUUCUCUUGAGAGCGGCGGACGGGUGAGUAAUGCCUAGGAAUCUGCCUGAUAGUGGGGGAUAACGUCCGGAAACGGACGCUAAUACCGCAUACGUCCUACGGGAGAAAGUGGGGGCUCUUCGGACCUCACGCUAUCAGAUGAGCCUAGGUCGGAUUAGCUAGUUGGUGGGGUAAAGGCUCACCAAGGCGACGAUCCGUAACUGGUCUGAGAGGAUGAUCAGUCACACUGGAACUGAGACACGGUCCCGACUCCUACGGGAGGCAGCAGUGGGGAAUAUUGGACAAUGGGCGAAAGCCUGAUCCAGCCAUGCCGCGUGUGUGAAGAAGGUCUUCGGAUUGUAAAGCACUUUAAGUUGGGAGGAAGGGUCGUUACCUAAUACGUGGCGAUUUUGACGUUACCGACAGAAUAAGCACCGGCUAACUCUGUGCCAGCAGCCGCCGUAACAC
rnacentral:rRNA from 1 species